ensembl:lincRNA
GUUGUAUGAGGCAUCUGCUAAGUGACUGAGGCAAGAAUUUAACCCAGGACUGCUGCAUUCUGAAGCCCGCUCUUGACCUCUGUGCUAUGUUGUUCUUGCCUGUCAUUGUAUUCCCUGAAGCCCACUCUUGACCUCUGUGCUAUGUUGUUCUUGCCUGCCAUUGUAUUCCCCGUCCCCUGACCAGCCAGAGGGCAGAGAAAAGAUGACCAUGGCUCAGUGUAGGGUCCUCAUCUGCCCCUGAGACCUGGGGAUCUUUGCUGCAGUGUUCAGUGACUGCCUGGGUUGAAGGCUGGCCUGGGAGGAUGGGCAGUAUUGAGGGCCAUUGCUUCAGGGGUUGUUGGGCCAGCACUACUGCUCAGCUCUGCACACACUCGGACAGCUGUCUGCAGAGCAUUCAAGAGCCUCCAUCCCUGGCAGUGAGGCUAAAACUGCAUGUACCCAUCUCCAGCAAAUGCAGGUGGUGAGUAAGGACAGGAACGGAUUGGAGCUCAGCAUUCCAAACUAGCCUGCUAGGCUGCUUGGGGACCUCAUUAGCUGUGUUUCCAGCACAUGUUGAAUUCUGUGAACAGCAGGUGCUCACAGCUAGCCAUGGGGAGACAACACGGCCACCUCCUCCUGUGGGGCUUCCAGGCUUCAGGCAAACACAGAAGUGGGGUUCUGACUUCUCACUGGAGUCACUGGCCAUGGGUCUUUGUGUGCAGCUCCUGUCACCAAGCACCCACCCACUCCAUGCUGGGCUCUGUCACAUCAGUCCCUUGGCCUCAUCUGUAAUCCUCACGGUCACUCCAUAAGGUUUGAACGGGGAGGCACUGGCCUCAGGGCUCCUUGCUGCUGACAUCAGUUGUGCCCUCGUAGGAGACGUCCUGGUCCUGCCUGCCUCAGAGGCUUCCAUCUGCGGAUUUCCUGAGGUCGUCCCCUUACUCCUCUGCUGCAGUCUCUCUCAACAUUUCAACUGUCUGCUCCAGAAAGUUACUCUGUCACUAAGUAAAAUAAAUACAAACAAAAUAAGCAAUAAUCUACCCCCUUCCUUUCUCCUCUGGUCCCCUCUCUGUCUGCCUGUCACCCCCUCCUCAAUGAGAACGUGGAUCCCUCGUGGCAUUUCUCUGCAGGGAUGGCCCAGGCUUUCCCAGCCCAUGCACUCUCAGCCAGAUCAUUUGCCUGCGGUCCCAUGGCCGUCUCCAAAAUGUGCUCUCCUCCAAAGACUAGUUUUGCUGAUUGUCUUUGUUGCAAACUGUUUUUCUCCACACUACGC